GCCUACGGGGGGCAGCAGUAGGGAAUCUUCCACAAUGGGCGAAAGCCUGAUGGAGCAACGCCGCGUGGGUGAAGAAGGUCUUCGGAUCGUAAAACCCUGUUGUUAGAGAGGAAAGUGCGUGAGAGUAACUGUUCACGUUUCGACGGUAUCUAACCAGAAAGCCACGGCUAACUACGUGCCAGCAGCCGCGGUAAUACGUAGGUGGCAAGCGUUAUCCGGAUUUAUUGGGCGUAAAGGGAACGCGGGCGGUCUUUUAAGUCUGAUGUGAAAGCCUUCGGCUUAACCGGAGUAGUGCAUUGGAAACU
rnacentral:rRNA from 1 species